rnacentral:rRNA from 1 species
UACGUAGGGUGCAAGCGUUGUCCGGAAUUAUUGGGCGUAAAGAGCUCGUAGGCGGUCUGUCGCGUCGGCUGUGAAACCCGGAGCUCAACUCCGGCCUGCAGUCGAUACGGCAAACUGGAGUGUUACAGGGAGACUGGAAUUCCUGGUGUAGCGGUGAAUGCGCAGAUAUCAGGAGGAACACCGUGGCGAAGCGAUCUCUGGCCAUACUGACGCUGAGAGCGAAGCGUGGGAGC